rnacentral:lncRNA from 1 species
GGGAGGAUUAGAAUUCAAGAUCAUCCUUCACUGUUUCUUGGCCAGCCUAGUCUAAAUAAGACUGCCUCAAAAAGCAAAAAGGUCCCUAGAUUAGAGGAGCUCCUUGCUGUCCAGUGGAUGUGGUGGUCUGGCUGCAGACACCGGCUUCACCGGUUUCUCCCCCUGCCUUUCAGUUCUGCCAGGCCAGGCAGAAGGCGGCCCUGCUGGAGCUGUUGCAUGAGCUGUACAACUUCCUGGCCAUCCAAGCAGGUAAUUUUGAGUGUGGCAAUCCGGAGAAGCUAAAGAGCAAAUGCAUCCCUGUCCUGGAGGCCCAGGAGUACAUAGCUAACGUGACCAGCAGUUCCUCUUCGAGGUUUAAGGCUGCACUGACCUGGAUACUGAGCAGCAACAAGGAUGUGGGCAUCUGGUGGGAAUCCAAUUUACAGCUUAAUCUUCUGCAUGCUGAGAGAGGCUGUCAACGACCCGGCAGAGGGGGAGGCCACUUCAGCGGCAGGGGUUCGAGCUGGCUGCCAUCUUUAAAGCUUCCGUCUUUCUAA